AAAAAAAAAAUCAGACCAGCUCCUGGCUGCAUUUCUGGAGCUUUGCAAAGCUUUUUACUAGCACUUUCCGUGCCCCUGCGUAAGCACGAACUUUUCACGCUCUUGAAAUGCCCCAGUUGCCUUCCCUGGGGUCACUCACUAGGGCGCCCUGGGCGCACUCAGCUUCAGGCACGCGGCCCGCCCUCGCGGGGGUAUUCAAAUUGGCUCAGGCAGCGGCGCGGUGAACGGCUGCCGGUUUCCUGGUGGGCCGCGGUGGGACCCGGGGCUAGCGGCUGCCUCCAGCCCGCGCGCUUCCCUCGCCUAGGAAGAGACGCUAGUGAAAUCGCAGCCCGCGCUGGGAGAGCGGGGCCCGGAGGCGGGGGAAUCCCAGGCGAGGGGAACCGGGACCCUGGGCUUCCUCCCUGACCCGGCGACACCCGGGGGACACCGGGGCUCCCUCCAGCCGUUACCCUGCGUUUGUGGACUCGUGUGCACCCUCGGGGGAGGUUCCCCGGAGGCCGCGGCGAGUGGCUGCAGGGCCGGGCGCGCGCCCGGAGCGCCUCCUCUGGGUGGUCCCCCCGCCCGGCGAGGACCACGUGCCGUCCGUCCCGGGCGCCCGAGCAGCCGCGCUGAACCGAGCGGAGCCCAGUGCCCCGGGCACCGCGGGCCCGGGCGGCCUCCCCACCCCCCAGGCCGUGCCGCCGCCCUGCUCUGGGCGGAGUAAACAAGAGACGCGCAAGAUUUGACCUGGCGCGACCCGGAUUUCUGGCCGGGGUUCCCCCUGAGCAGGUGACUCCGUGGGAGGGGUGGAAAUUAGUCUCUGGAAUUCCGGGCCAAAGACGUUCACUGUGGUUCUGCUUUUAAGGCAGGUAUUCCACCGACAACUGCGGAAUGUUUUGCGUCUCAAGUUUCAGAUUUCGUGGAAAGGGACCGAAUGUCAGAACGUAUCAAAUAUUUCUUUCCCUUUUCAUUAAAAUCGAAUACAUUAAAUGAGAGGACAGCCCCCUUAAUGACUUCGACAAUUGCACUGCUGGUUUCGGUUUUGGUUUGGUUUGUUUCUCAUUUCGACCUAUCAUCAGUGGAUUUCUGAAGUCCCCGUGCAAAGGCGUUAUUGCCGUGAAGGACGAUUUUGCAAAAUAAGGCGGCGAUACCUUUUUUAUCGAUAUUUUUUUCAAAGGAGAAAAAUCUGAAUGAUUUGGAAUAAAUUUCACUGUGUCCUUUUAGGUUGGUCUCAUUUAAAUUCAAGGCCUACUUCCACUAAAGCGGCUUCUCCUUUCAUUGUGAAAACCCCCAGAGACAAAAUCAGCAAUGGUAAACUGUGCACUCAGCCCUAGGAGGCUCUAAGGAAAGUGAUGCUGGGUGGGGCAUAAGACAGAGUGACCCAGCUUGGGCACCUAUAUGGAGCAUCAGCAGUGAGGGUAUCUUCUGCAUUUCAGCCUAUGGACUUGGACUUAGUUUGAGCUCCGCUCCCUGGGGAACCCAACCUUUGAUAUAUUCUGCUCCACUUGGCAA